rnacentral:rRNA from 1 species
CCUACGGGAGGCAGCAGUGAGGAAUAUUGGUCAAUGGGCGCAAGCCUGAACCAGCCAAGCAGCGUGAAGGAUGACUGCCCUAUGGGUUGUAACCUUCUUUUAUAUGGGAAUAAAGUGCAGUAUGUAUACUGCUUUGCAUGUACCUUAUGAAUAAGGAUCGGCUAACUCCGUGCCAGCAGCCGCGGUAAUACGGAGGAUCCGAGCGUUAUCCGGAUGUAUUGGGUUUAAAGGGGGCGUAGGCGGGUUGUUAAGUCAGUUGUGAAAGUUUGCGGCUCAACCGUGAAAUUGCAGUUGAUACUGGCAGACUAGAGUACAGUAGAGGUAGGCGGAAUUCGUGGUGUAGCGGUGAAAUGCUGAGAUAUCACGAAGAACUCCGAUUGCGAAGGCAGCUUGCUGGUCUGUAACUGACGCUGAUGCUCGAAAGCGUGGGUAGCAAACAGGAUUAGAUACCCGAGUAGUC